rnacentral:rRNA from 1 species
UUAAAUGGCUGCAGUAAUUUGACUGUACAAAGGUAGCAUAAUCAUUAGUUUUUUAAUUAAAAGCUUGAAUGAAAGGUUGGACGAAGUAAAAUCUGUCUCUUUUUAAUAUAAUUAGAAUUUAAUUUUUAAGUUAAAAAGCUUAAAUUUUUAUAAAAGACGAGAAGACCCUAUAGAGUUUAAUAAUUUUUAUAAAAUAAUUAAUUUAGAUUUAUUACUUUUAUUUUAAAUAAAUUAUUUUAUUGGGGUAAUAGAAAGAUUUGAAUAAUUCUUUUUUUUUGUAACAUUAAUUUAUGAAAUAUAUAUAUAUGAUCCAUUAUUUUUAUGAUUAUAAG